rnacentral:misc_RNA from 1 species
AGAGUGGAGCCUAAUGCC